CAGAGAAUAGUUUAAUUAAAAUGUCAGCUUUGGGAGUUGGUGAUAAAGGUUUAAUCCCUUUUUCUCUGA
rnacentral:tRNA from 1 species